AGGGAUUGAUUAAAUGGUUCUCUCUGCUCUUAUAAUCACAUGGGUUUGAACAAGAAACUCGGUCCGGUGCUAAGGGCUUCAGAUCUUGUUUAACCUCCACUGAAAUUUCUCAAAUUUGUUUCAAUAGGUCUUGUGUCAUAUGAAGUCUCGCAAUAAGUGGGUACAUACUUAUACUGGUAGCCGAUUCAGCAACCAUUAAUAAUGUACAAAAUGAACGUAACAGUAACAAGUACCAUAUGGCAUUAUUAACCUUCAAAAAAAUUGUGCAUCAAUUGUACAUGUGUGUGGUUCGCAUCGUGGUGAUGUGCACAUUUGAAGAAGUGCGCGUGAGUUAAUCUUUACUUCCGUCCUUACAGUAUGAUGGAGCAUCCAGAGUUACAUCCAUUAUCUGUGAAAUAAUCUUGCUUGGUAAAGAAGAGUAAGGUGUAAGGUGUCAUGUCUACCAUCCGUCAGAUGUGUUCAUAUAGCACAAAUAUGCAAUUUGAAUACACAACAAGGCUUAGUUGUCAGAGGAACAGAGACAGCCAGACUGACCAAAUCGAACUAAUCGCCAUGUUUAAUUUUUUGCAUUAGUAAAGGCAAAAUUAAGGAGGGACAUUAUUCGUGUUAGAAUGAAUCCUCGAACACAGGGCUGCUCUGAUAGAUAAGCCGCACUGAUCCAUGGUAAGUGCGAAAUUAUAACUUUACUUAUUCUUCAAAGGAAAAUAUUUGACGAAUGUAUUACGAUAACAAGUACUCCCUC
rnacentral:lncRNA from 1 species